UUCACACCUGCCCAUUAACACCUGGGAGUUUUUUUUGGCUUCUCCAUUGUUCAUAUAAUUACAUCUUUAUCUGAACAGUGUAAGAGAGCCAGGGGUUCCUUAGGGAGACCCCCCUUGGGGUGGCCCGGCCUUGUGCCGCCCCCUAUUUUUUCUCCCCCCAUCGGAGAAUCUUCAUUAAGAGGUUUCAACGAUGGACAAGAAGCAGAGAAAUCCAUCUCUUCUGACGCUGUACUCCGUCCUGAAGGACUUCAGGGCGGAAUUUACGGACUUUGAGGCCCUCGCUUCUUAUUAUGGUAAAAUCCUCUAUUAUUUAUCAGUUCCUAAGGUUGUGCCAUUGUUUUAUUAUUUGUGAAUUCCUUUCCCCCUUUAGCUCAGUAUUUAACUGAAUUGUGUUUUUCCCGCAGAACAUCACUACCGGGUCGAAUUCGGCGAGAACAUUGUCCUGUAAGUAAAACAUAAAUGGACUUGUUACAUGUUGGGAAUCAUUUGCUAUUGCCCCAGGGGUAACUGCAA